UACGAAGGGGGCUAGCGUUGCUCGGAAUCACUGGGCGUAAAGCGCACGUAGGCGGAUUGCUAAGUCAGGGGUGAAAUCCUGGAGCUCAACUCCAGAACUGCCUUUGAUACUGGCGAUCUUGAGUCCGGGAGAGGUGAGUGGAACUGCGAGUGUAGAGGUGAAAUUCGUAGAUAUUCGCAAAGAACACCAGUGGCGAAGGC
rnacentral:rRNA from 1 species